rnacentral:rRNA from 1 species
AUUGAACGCUGGCGGCAUGCCUUACACAUGCAAGUCGAACGGCAGCACGGGAGCAAUCCUGGUGGCGAGUGGCGAACGGGUGAGUAAUAUAUCGGAACGUGCCCAGUCGUGGGGGAUAACGCAGCGAAAGCUGUGCUAAUACCGCAUACGAUCUCUGGAUGAAAGCGGGGGACUCGCAAGGGCCUCGCGCGAUUGGAGCGGCCGAUAUCAGAUUAGCUAGUUGGUGGGGUAAAAGCCCACCAAGGCGACGAUCUGUAGCUGGUCUGAGAGGACGACCAGCCACACUGGAACUGAGACACGGUCCAGACUCCUACGGGAGGCAGCAGUGGGGAAUUUUGGACAAUGGGCGCAAGCCUGAUCCAGCAAUGCCGCGUGCAGGAUGAAGGCCUUCGGGUUGUAAACUGCUUUUGUACGGAACGAAACGGUCGCCUCUAAUAAAGGCGGCUAAUGACGGUACCGUAAGAAUAAGCACCGG